rnacentral:rRNA from 1 species
UACGUAGGGUGCAAGCGUUGUCCGGAAUUAUUGGGCGUAAAGAGCUCGUAGGCGGUCUGUCGCGUCGAAUGUGAAAACCCGGGACUCAACUCCGGGCCUGCAUUCGAUACGGGCAGACUAGAGUUCGGUAGGGGAGACUGGAAUUCCUGGUGUAGCGGUGAAAUGCGCAGAUAUCAGGAGGAACACCGAUGGCGAAGGCAGAUCUCUGGGCCGUAACUGACGCUGAGGAGCGAAAGCAUGGGGAGCGAACAGG